GAUGAACGCUGGCGGCGUGCUUAACACAUGCAAGUCGAACGGUGAAAGAGAGCUUGCUCUCUGGAUCAGUGGCGAACGGGUGAGUAACACGUGAGCAAUCUGCCCCUGACUCUGGGAUAAGCGCUGGAAACGGCGUCUAAUACCGGAUACGAGCUGCGAAGGCAUCUUCAGCAGCUGGAAAGAACUUCGGUCAGGGAUGAGCUCGCGGCCUAUCAGCUUGUUGGUGAGGUAAUGGCUCACCAAGGCGUCGACGGGUAGCCGGCCUGAGAGGGUGACCGGCCACACUGGGACUGAGACACGGCCCAGACUCCUACGGGAGGCAACAGUGGGGAAUAUUGCACAAUGGGCGCAAGCCUGAUGCAGCAACGCCGCGUGAGGGACGACGGCCUUCGGGUUGUAAACCUCUUUUAGCAGGGAAGAAGCGAAAGUGACGGUACCUGCAGAAAAAGCACCGGCUAACUACGUGCCAGCAGCCGCAGUAAAAC
rnacentral:rRNA from 1 species